rnacentral:rRNA from 1 species
UACAGAGGUCUCAAGCGUUGUUCGGAUUCAUUGGGCGUAAAGGGUGCGUAGGCGGCGCGGUAAGUCGGGCGUGAAAUCUCGGAGCUUAACUCCGAAACUGCAUUCGAUACUGCCGUGCUUGAGGACUGGAGAGGAGACUGGAAUUUACGGUGUAGCGGUGAAAUGCGUAGAUAUCGUAAGGAAGACCAGUGGCGAAGGCGGGUCUCUGGACAGUUCCUGACGCUGAGGCACGAAGGUCAGGGGAGCAAACGGGG